AUUUAAAAAGAAUCUGCCAUCCAGUCCCUCUGAAGUCCAAUAUUUAAUACCUUAUGUCUUGUGUGUUUAGUUUGUACACCAACAGAGUGUUCCUGGAGUCUCUGCUGAGUUCCUGCCUCCUGAACAGGAUUCCUGACUUAGCCAGUGAUGUUAAGAAGCCAGCUGUGAACAUUUCCCAUGUUUCCUGCUUUAGCUGCUGCAGCCUGGACACAAACACGAGCUCCCACCUCACAAACCAAAGAAGAAGAAGUUCUUUGAAACCAGGACUGAGUCCUCCAGGAUUCAAACUGGAACCACGGACCCAUCACAGAGAGAAGAGACAGACGUGAAGAUGUUGUCAGGUCUUCAGCUGCUGUCGUCUUCUCCUCCUGCACAGAGAACAACACACAUUGAUCACACAAACUCAUCUGUAAGUCCAAAU